CACGUAGGGGGCGAGCGUUGUCCGGAUUUAUUGGGCGUAAAGAGCUCGUAGGCGGCUUGUCGCGUCGACUGUGAAAACUCACAACUCAAUUGUGGGCGUGCGGGCGAUACGGGCAGACUGGAGUACUGCAGGGGAGACUGGAAUUCCUGGUGUAGCGGUGAAAUGCGUAGAGAUCCGGAGGAACACCAGUGGCGAAGGCGACACGCUGGGCCGUACCUGACACUGAUGCGCGACAGCAUGGGGAGCAAACAGG
rnacentral:rRNA from 1 species